rnacentral:rRNA from 1 species
GACGGAAGGUGCAAGCGUUGCUCGGAAUCACUGGGCGUAAAGGGUGCGUAGGCGGCCGUGCAAGUCUGGCGUGAAAGCCCCGGGCUCAGCCCGGGAAGUGCGCUCGAAACUGCGCGGCUCGAGUGCCGGAGGGGAGAGUGGAAUCCUGGUGUAGCGGUGAAAUGCGUAGAUAUCAGGAGGAAUACCGGUGGCGAAAGCGGCUCUCUGGAACGGUACUGACGCUGAGACGCGAAAGCGUGGGGAGCGAACAGG